AAGAAUGUGUUGGUGAGCAGCAGUUACAUGCGGCGCGGAGAGCAGCAGCCCGCCCAGGUUAAGUCUGCAGCUAAGGGCAGACAUGCGCACUAUGAAAUAAACAAAAGUUGCGUGCAUUGCCACCCACCGCACAGUCAUACACACGCACACAACUUGUGCGCCUGUGUUGGUGAGCACACAACGGCGCAGUGAGCGAACGCCAGAGAGUGGCAACCUCAUCGUCGACGACAACAGCGGCGGCCACCAACUAAGGGCAGACAUGCGCACUAAGAGACAGCACAUAUAUUUGGACUUAUUUUAAUGUGGCCCAGGCACACGCAUAUUUGCAUGAGGAGCUGGCACACCGACAACACAAUACACAUGAGCUGGGAGAAGUGUGUGUUUUAGUGCUACAUUUGGUUUGUUGUAUUUGGUAAAAGUACAAUUUAUAAAUAUACAAGUAUUCUAUGAUUGCA